UACAGAGGUCUCAAGCGUUGUUCGGAUUCAUUGGGCGUAAAGGGUGCGUAGGCGGCGCGGUAAGUCGGGUGUGAAAUCUCGGAGCUUAACUCCGAAACUGCAUUCGAUACUGCCGUGCUUGAGGACUGGAGAGGAGACUGGAAUUUACGGUGUAGCAGUGAAAUGCGUAGAGAUCGUAAGGAAGGCCAGUGGCGAAGGCGAGUCUCUGGACAGUUACUGACGCUGAGGCACGAAGGCCAGGGGAGCAAACGGG
rnacentral:rRNA from 1 species